rnacentral:rRNA from 1 species
GCAAGUCGAGCGGGCCCUUCGGGGUCAGCGGCAGACGGGUGAGUAACGCGUGGGAACGUACCAUUUGCUACGGAAUAACUCAGGGAAACUUGUGCUAAUACCGUAUGAGCCCGAAAGGGGAAAGAUUUAUCGGCAAAUGAUCGGCCCGCGUUGGAUUAGCUAGUUGGUGGGGUAAAGGCCUACCAAGGCGACGAUCCAUAGCUGGUCUGAGAGGAUGAUCAGCCACACUGGGACUGAGACACGGCCCAGACUCCUACGGGAGGCAGCAGUGGGGAAUAUUGGACAAUGGGCGCAAGCCUGAUCCAGCCAUGCCGCGUGAGUGAUGAAGGCCCUAGGGUUGUAAAGCUCUUUCACCGGUGAAGAUAAUGACGGUAACCGGAGAAGAAGCCCCGGCUAACUUCGUGCCAGCAGCCGCGGUAAUACGAAGGGGGCUAGCGUUGUUCGGAUUUACUGGGCGUAAAGCGCACGUAGGCGGGCUAAUAAGUCAGGGGUGAAAUCCCGGGGCUCAACCCCGGAACUGCCUUUGAUACUGUUAGUCUUGAGUAUGGUAGAGGUGAGUGGAAUUCCGAGUGUACAGGUGAAAUUCUUAGAUAUUCGGAGGAACACCAGUGGCGAAGGCGGCUCACUGGACCAUUACUGACGCUGAGGUGCAAAAGCGUGUGGAGCAAACAGGAUUAGAUACCCUGGUAUUCCACGCCGUAUACGAUGAAUGUUAGCCGUUGGGGAGUUUACUCUUCCGUGGCGCAUCUAACUCAUUA